GCUCUGAUCAGGAGACAGGACCUCGGUGUGCUGGGCGCCGUGGGCUGGGAUAGGGCCUGUAAACUUGAGGCCAGCUCAGCCAGUGGGGAAGAUGCUCUCCCGCCCCUCUGCACAGUAACUCACUGUCACCUGGAUCUUACCCAGUGACAACUGUGGGCACUGGCUGCCCCCUGCCGUGGGGCGGUUCACCUUUCUCAAGUAUCAAGGACUUUUUGAAGAAAAGCAAUUUACCUUCUUGAAACAGUAUUUUUAGAUAAGCUUUGAUGGGAGCUUAAAAUUCUGCCCCUAGAUCCCAAGGGGCUCCAUGUCUCCCACCCUCUAAGGGGAAGCGGGGCCGGGGGAGGGACGACGAUGACUUUUAGACACAUGACACUGGGUUUUCCUGGCCCAGGCUGGUGUGCUCUGAACAUUUUGUGACAAAUUACAUGAAGCACUUGGUACCCGGAGACUAAUUCACACACCUCACUGCUAUUUUCUAUUCUUGGACCCAGCAAGGUCAAAGGCCUGAGCUCCCUGAGGAGCUUUCAAGGCUCACUUAUAAUCUAAUUCUGGCUCUUGUCAGUACUGGACUCCACCUCUCAUGUCUAAAAUCUAAGCAUGAGCAGGAAAUGAUCUACCUGGGAGAGGAGGGAAAACCAGCCAAGUCCAAACGCCCAGAAAGGAUUUCCUCACUGAAUGCCACGCCUUGCUCAGCACCUGUCCUCCCUCCAUCUCUUCCUUUUGUCUCAAGCCACGUCUUCACACUGGUUAGCCCGAGUUUGCCAAGGACCUCGUCAACCUCACUCCCUACUUCGUCCUCCUGCACAUGGUCAGUGUGGCACCACCAUGGCCUGCGAUCCUCAGAUGUCAACAGCUAUCCCUCGCGCAGCAUUCAUUCAGCAAUGACCUUAUGUGACACACUGGAAUGCAGGAUGAGUUACAGCUCACUCAGCAUCUGGAGAUGCAGUUACCCUGGAUCCUGAAGGCCCAGAAGGCCAGCUCGCUCCAGCCCCGACCAGCCACUGAUUCCAGCACAGGCGGCUCCGGCCCCAAGGAGUGGGGCUCAGACCGUUCCCUGCUCAGCUCCGGCAGUGACUCACAAGCCCACACACCCUUGGGAUCUUGUCAUUUACACAGCUCCAACUAUCUCAAGAUGGUGUCAGCUGGGAGGUGACUGGGGUAGCCUCUGAUACUGCACACAUGGCCCUCAGGGUGGAAGGCCUUAAGGGCAUUCAAGAGCUAGCACCACUCACUUGUGUCCCUUCUGUCUGGGAGGCUCUAAGUUUCCAGUCAGGACUUCCUGGCUGGCCGCACAGCAAUCACUCUGUCUCAAACCAAGGCGCUUCACGAUCAAGUCAAAUCCCCUCUCCACUUUCUUUGUUGAGGCAGGGUCUCACUGUGUAGUUUAGACUAGUGCUGAACUCACUAUGUAGCCCAGGCCGGCCUCAUACUUGCGGUAAUCCUCCUGCCCCAGCUUUCUAAGUGCUGGGGUCACAGGCAUGCACCAGCACACCUGGCCCCUCUCUACACCUUCUUAAAGGCACCCCACAAACGCUUUGGUAUAGCAGAAAAAGACUGUUCCCUGGUGUACUAAAGUCUGUUCCCUUGGCUCUGCCGGCUUCCCCAAUCCUCAGUCAACUCCUAACAGUGAGCUGCCAAGCUGUGUCAGGUCUCUGAGCCUUGCCGCUGGCUGCUCCCUCUGCUCAUCAGUCUUGUGUUUCCUAACCCCAUUCCUGCCCACCAACCCCUCCUGAGGCAGCUGUUACCCUCUCUUUCACAUGAUGCCUUUACAUUAAUUUGCACUUAAUAGGUUGGAGUAGCCCUGGUAUCCCCAUGCUGCAAAUGUAAUUGCAGCCAAUCACUUGUCUGAAGAUUAAAACUUCAGAACAGAAAUUUUUUGUUUUCUUUUUUCCUGGCUUGGUUUUGUCUUGUCUGCUUUUUAAAUAUUAAAAACAAAUUUUGGUUUUUUGGGGACAGGGUCUCACUUUCUAGUUGAACUCAAAGCAAUCCUCCUGCCUCAUCCUCCCUAAUGUUGGGAUUACAGGUGUGUACUACUACAUCUGGCCCAAGACAUUUUUUAUUACAUCAGAAAAUAUUUUUGGCUCUUUUUUUUUUUUCUUUUUCUGGGUACUGGGGAUUGAACUCACGACCGCCUGCUUGCAAGGCGGGUUCUAUGCCGCUGAGCUAAAUCCCCAGCCCCUACAUCAGAAAAUAUUAAUGAAGUCUUAUUACUCAUUCACAGCAUGGAGGUGAGAAAGUUUAGUAGUAUUUUGGGGUAGGGUAGAAUGAAAAAUAAGACCGUAUUUAUAGGCAGAACUGGCAGAUAGCUCUGAGGUAGAUCUGUUGCUGUGUUUAUAUAGUUGAGGGACAGCAAGCAGGGUCACGGAGCCUGCACAAAUCCAGUGCCAAUCAUUAUAGAACAAGCAGAGGUUGGGGGACGUCUGUUCCCAUUUCCCUGGGGUGGUCUGGUCCUUGCUGUUGGCUCUGGUUAACUGAGAGCACCCUCUUUUACUCUCAAAUGUCUCUGUUCACCAGUAAUUUUACGACCAUCCCAUUUCAUGCACAGGUCAAUCUCUCCCCCAAACAGGACCCAUUCAUUAAAGCCCACACAGGCUGCCCGAAUCUUGCCAAGUAAGGGCUCAUGUGACAUGAACUUUCUUCCAGCCUGCCAUGAGCAGGGCAUUAACAACCAUGUAUGUUAAGAUGUAGGGAUGGGGAGAUAGCUUAGUGGCAGAAGCGCCUGCCUGGAAAGCGCAAGGUCCUGAGUUUGACUUUCAGUAACCCUCCGUACUGCCCCCCCCCCCCCAAAAGAUGUACUCUUCAACUCUGAAAAAAGGAGCACUCGGAAUCAUACAGUAAGUUCGCCUCAUAGAGGCCGAGGAAACAGUUUACUGCUUAGGUCUCUGCUAAACUAACUGCUGGUACUGGUUACUAUUCAGUAAAUAAGCCAUAUACAUCUUACGUAUUCAUCCUACCUGGGGUAUAUCUGGCGUCAGAAUUUCCCCAUCCUCCACCUACACGAAGGGGAGAAUUAUCCCAUGUAGACAAAGGUGGCUUCUGACCAGUCAGUCCCGGAGGUGGGCGGGACGGAGCAGUGAUGUUUUUAGGUGGCAAAGGGACCUUCCACAGCUCAUGAGCCAGAGAGGUGUUUGUAACUGAACCAGGAGACCACGUCAAUUUGGAAUCACUAUUUCUGGCUACUCCAAGGAAGGAAAGGAAUGAUUAAGAAAACAGAAAUGUUACUUAAUAACAUCCACUGUCCCAUGAAAAGCAUACCAAACAAGAAAUUCUCAUCAACACAUUGUAUGUCAAACUGAACUGCUAAAGAAGAAAUUCAGAAAGCCUGAAGGAAACUUCCCUUCAUAACAACCACACCAUCUGUUACUGACAGAUCCAGUGAACAGAAUGGCUCUGUGGUGGAAGACUGGCCUCAGUGGUUUCCAGAGUGUGACAGGAGUGCACAAGUUCAGGAAGUUGUGGCAGUGUGACCUGAUCAUUUCUGCAGCCAAUUCGAAACUCAUGUUUACUAUAUUUACAGAAAUAAAGCUAUGAAGGGCUGGGAAUUACAAAAUAAAAAGUACUUCUCUGAAGACAGCCUUAAGGACUGCUUGAGAUGAAAUUCUGUUUAACUUCCAGGCUGAGAGGACUCUCAGCUGAGGGCAAGUGGUGUGCAAUGGAAGC